GAUGAAGAACGCAGUGAAAUGCGAUAAGUAAUGCGAAUUGCAGAAUCCGUGAGUCAUCGAAUCUUUGAACGCACAUUGCGCCCCUUGGUUAUUCCGAAGGGCAUGCCUGUUCGAGCGUCAUUAUCACCCCUCAAGCCCUGGCUUGGAGUUGGACUUUAGUUAUGGCUUUGCCUAUCAACUGGUCUCAAAGAUAGUGACGGCGCCCCAGAGGGAACCGGGUACGAGGAGCUUUUUACUAAGCAUGUAUCUGGGACGACUCUGAUGGGCGACGGUCUUGUUAUACUUUUUACCUAAGUGUUGACCUCGGAUCAGGUAGGAAUACCCGCUGAACUUAAGCAUAUCAAUAAGCGGAGGA
rnacentral:misc_RNA from 1 species